UGUGCUUCCUGAGGUUGACGUCAGAUAGAUGUGGAUGUACACUUGGACCAAGUUCUACAUUAGGAACACUUUAAAUGAUUGAUCCAGAGUGCCCCUGCUGUGAAAAUGGAAAGAAAUGUAAUGUUUUGGUCAUGGGAGAGCUGCCAAUUCCACAGUACCAGCACAGUGAGAGUCAUCCUUCAUUUAUUUCCCGCCUUCCCCUUUUUCGGAUGUUGAUGAGACAUUAGUAUGGCGCAAAGUCUGUUUGCUCCUUGCUGCAUUUAUUUUGUUAAGAUUAGAGUUGCUAAGAUACGGUAGUUAUUUCAAAUUGUAACCACUGAUGCCAGUGGUCAUAAAAUAAAGUGCUGAAAUUCCUUUAU
rnacentral:lncRNA from 1 species